UUGUGCAUUUUCUCAAAUUCUUUCCUUUCAAUUUCCCUCCAUUCAUUAGAGGGAGCCAAAAUGAACCUCUGGGUAAACUUGGUACUCCUUCUUGCAUCCCUUGGAGGUGUCCAAUCUGAGGUUCAGUUGGUGGAGUCUGGAGGGGAUGUGAGAAGACCUGGAGAGUCCCUCCGUCUCUCCUGCCAAGCCUCUGGAUUCACCUUCAGCAGCUCCUGGAUGUACUGGGUGAGACAGGCUCCAGGAAAAGGCCUGGAAUGGGUUUCCCAUAUACAUCCAAGUUCAUCUAACAUUUACUACUCAGACAAAGUCAAGGGCCGCUUCACCAUCUCCAGGGACAAUGCCAAAAGCCAGCUGUAUCUGCAAAUGAACAGCCUCAAAGCUGAAGACACGGCAGUCUAUUACUGUGCAAGAGACACAGUGAGAGGAAGUGAAUCUGAAACCUGUCAAGAACUUUCUCUCCUUCUGAAUAAUACCGCAAUUAGGCAUUACUCCAGCACGCUCCCUGCCCACUGGCCACUCCUCCAGAUUGGCCAGAAUUCCAGCCAUUUCCAAGAAGAAGAAGAAGAAGAAGAACUCACCCAAAGAAGAUCCCAAGAAGAGGUCCCGACGGGGAAAGAGAGCACGGGGGAGAAAGAAAAGGAAGAGAAAGAAAGUAGCGAAGCAGGGAAGAAACAAAGACCUCAAAGAGCAGUUUGA